UGGGUUGUGGCUCAGUGGUAGAGUGCUUACCUAGCAUGUGUGAAUGAAGUACUGGGUUCAGUUCUCAGCACCAUAU
rnacentral:tRNA from 1 species